rnacentral:tRNA from 1 species
GCCUCGAUAGCUCAGUUGGGAGAGCGUUAGACUGAAGAUCUAAAGGUCACCAGUUCGAUCCUGGUGCCGGGGA